CAGCAGCCACGGGAAUACGGAGGGUGCAAGCGUUAAUCGGAAUUACUGGGCGUAAAGCGCACGCAGGCGGUUUGUUAAGUCAGAUGUGAAAUCCCCGAGCUUAACUUGGGAACUGCAUUUGAAACUGGCAAGCUAGAGUCUUGUAGAGGGAGGUAGAAUUCCAGGUGUAGCGGUGAAAUGCGUAGAGAUCUGGAGGAAUACCGGUGGCGAAGGCGGCCCCCUGGACAAAGACUGACGCUCAGGUGCGAAAGCGUGGGGAGCAAACAGGAUUAGAUACCCCGGUAGUCCCUGUCUCUUAUAC
rnacentral:rRNA from 1 species